GGCCCGUUCGGCUAUCGGUUAGGACACAAGAUUUUCAUUCUUGGAAGAGGGGUUCGAUUCCCCUAGGGGCUA
rnacentral:tRNA from 1 species